rfam:Salmo salar isolate Sally breed double haploid chromosome ssa04, whole genome shotgun sequence.
UAUGCACUCUAGUGUAAGUCACUCUGGAUAAGAGCGUCUGCUAAAUGACCAUUU